AGGUGAACCUGCGGAAGGAUCAUUACCGAGAGUCGGGGUCCCUUCUGGGGCCCCAUCUCCCCCUCGCUCCGAGGUGAUAACCCCUUGUCGGGCACCUCCGCAUCGACGCCCACGUCCCUGGGUCUGAGACCCCCCAUACGCGGUUACACGCACAUAAAACUUUCAACAACGGAUCUCUUGGCUCUGGCAUCGAUGAAGAACGCGGCAAGCUGCGAUAAGUAAUGCGAAUUGCAGAACUCAGUGAGUCAUCGAGUCUUCGAACGCACAUUGCGCCCCCUGGUAUCCCGGGGGGCACGCCUGUCCGAGCGUCGUCGACGCCCUUCGGGUGCCCCAUCGUACCCGGCCUUGGGCCCAGGACGCCCCCGCGUGGGCGGGCCCGUAAACCCCCCAACCGGUCCUCCCCGGAGCCCCGAGCGCAGCGGCAUCCCCCACCUGCUCGAGAAGGCCACCCGGGUGCGCGAGCGACCGGCGGGACACCCUAAAACCACGUUGACCUCGGAUCAGGCGGGGUUACCCGCUGAACUUAAGCAUAUCAAUAAGCGGAGGAA
rnacentral:sRNA from 1 species